GAUGAAGAACGUAGCGAAAUGCGAUAAGUAGUGUGAAUUGCAGAAUUCAGUGAAUCAUCGAAUCUUUGAACGCACAUUGCGCCCCUUGGUAUUCCAUGGGGCAUGCCUGUUCGAGCGUCAUUUGUACCUUCAAGCUUUGCUUGGUGUUGGGUGUUUGUCUCGCCUUUGCGUGUAGACUCGCCUUAAAAUAAUUGGCAGCCGGCGUAUUGAUUUCGGAGCGCAGUACAUCUCGCGCUUUGCACUCAUAACGACAGCGUCCAAAAGUACAUUUUACACUCUUGACCUCGGAUCAGGUAGGGAUACCCGCUGAACUUAAGCAUAUCAUAAGCGGAGA
rnacentral:misc_RNA from 1 species